UAUACGACCGUACCGCAAACCGACACUGGUGCGCGAGAUGAGUAUUCUAAGGCGCUUGAGAGAACUCAGGAGAAGGAACUCGGCAAAUUGACACCGUAACUUCGGAAGAAGGUGUGCCCUAUUAGUGUGUAGUGAACAACGAAGCAUGAAUGGGUUGCAAAAAAUCGGUGGCUGCGACUGUUUAUUAAAAACACAGCACUCUGCAAACACGAAAGUGGACGUAUAGGGUGUGACGCCUGCCCGGUGCUGGAAGAUUAAAUGAUGGGGUGCAAGCUCUUGAUUGAAGUCCCAGUAAACGGCGGCCGUAACAAUAACGGUCCUAAGGUAGCGAAAUUCCUUGUCGGGUAAGUUCCGACCUGCACGAAUGGCGUAACGAUGGCCACACUGUCUCCUCCUGAGACUCAGCGAAGUUGAAAUGUUUGUGAUGAUGCAAUCUCCCCGCGGAAAGACGGAAAGACCCCAUGAACCUUUACUGUAGCUUUGUAUUGGACUUUGAACAGAUCUGUGUAGGAUAGGUGGGAGGCUUUGAAGCAGGGUCGCUAGAUCUUGUGGAGCCAACGUUGAAAUACCACCCUGGUGUGUUUGAGGUUCUAACCUAGGUCCAUUAUCUGGAUCGGGGACAGUGCAUGGUAGGCAGUUUGACUGGGGCGGUCUCCUCCCAAAGCGUAACGGAGGAGUUCGAAGGUACGCUAGUUACGGUCGGACAUCGUGACGAUAGUGCAAUGGCAUAAGCGUGCUUAACUGCGAGACUGACAAGUCGAGCAGAUGCGAAAGCAGGACAUAGUGAUCCGGUGGUUCUGUAUGGAAGGGCCAUCGCUCAACGGAUAAAAGGUACUCUGGGGAUAACAGGCUGAUACCGCCCAAGAGUUCAUAUCGACGGCGGUGUUUGGCACCUCGAUGUCGGCUCAUCUCAUCCUGGGGCUGUAGCCGGUCCCAAGGGUAUGGCUGUUCGCCAUUUAAAGAGGUACGUGAGCUGGGUUUAAAACGUCGUGAGACAGUUUGGUCCCUAUCUUCCGUGGGCGCUGCAGAUUUGAGGAAGCCUGCUCCUAGUACGAGAGGACCGGAGUGGACACACCUCUGGUGUAUCGGUUGUCACGCCAGUGGCAUUGCCGAGUAGCUAAGUGUGGAAGAGAUAACCGCUGAAAGCAUCUAAGCGGGGAACUCGUUUCAAGAUGAGAUCUGCCGGGGCCUUGAGCCCCCUAAAGAGUCGUUCAAGACCAGGACGUUGAUAGGUCAGGUGUGGAAGCG
rnacentral:rRNA from 1 species